GUGCUCGUCUCAGCAGCACAUGUACUAAAAUUGGAAUGAUUCAGAGAUUACCAAGAACCGUGCAUAAGGCUGACACGCAAAUUUGUAGAGCAUUCCAUAUUUUU
ensembl:snRNA U6 U6 spliceosomal RNA